rnacentral:rRNA from 1 species
GACGAACGCUGGCGGCGUGCCUAAUACAUGCAAGUCGAGCGCAGGAAAUCGACGGAACCCUUCGGGGGGAAGUCGAUGGAAUGAGCGGCGGACGGGUGAGUAACACGUAAAGAACCUGCCCUCAGGUCUGGGAUAACCACGAGAAAUCGGGGCUAAUACCGGAUGGGUCAUCGGACCGCAUGGUCCGAGGAUGAAAGGCGCUUCGGCGUCGCCUGGGGAUGGCUUUGCGGUGCAUUAGCUAGUUGGUGGGGUAAUGGCCCACCAAGGCGACGAUGCAUAGCCGACCUGAGAGGGUGAUCGGCCACACUGGGACUGAGACACGGCCCAGACUCCUACGGGAGGCAGCAGUAGGGAAUCUUCCACAAUGGACGAAAGUCUGAUGGAGCAACGCCGCGUGAACGAUGAAGGCCUUCGGGUCGUAAAGUUCUGUUGUAAGGGAAGAACAAGUGCCGCAGGCAAUGGCGGCACCUUGACGGUACCUUGCGAGAAAGCCACGGCUAACUACGUGCCAGCAGCCGCCGCCG